GACAGAGGGUGCAAACGUUGCUCGGAAUCACUGGGCGUAAAGGGCGUGUAGGCGGGAAGGAAAGUCGGGCGUAAAAUCCCUGGGCUCAACCCAGGAACUGCACUCGAAACUUCUUUUCUUGAGUGCCGGAGAGGAAAGCGGAAUUCCUGGUGUAGAGGUGAAAUUCGUAGAUAUCAGGAGGAACACCAGUGGCGAAGGCGGCUUUCUGGACGGUAACUGACGCUGAGAACGGCGAAAGCGUGGGGAGCAAACAGG
rnacentral:rRNA from 1 species